rnacentral:piRNA from 1 species
GUCAGGUGAGGGCUCGGCCCGCG